rnacentral:rRNA from 1 species
GGCGAAUGCUAGCGACUAUAAAUAAAUAUGGCGUUCUUAAAUGCUAGUCUCUGUUAUCAGAGGCGACAUUGCCAAAUUGUCGGGGACACCCUAAAGAUCUUGAUACCAAGCUGGCAGUCGAAAGACGCCGGUGGCCGAGCUAACAGCCCUGGGUAUGGUAAUAAUUCAAGAUAUGCAACAAUGGGUAAUCCGCAGCCAAGUCCUAAACUACGCAAGUAGCAUGGAUGCAGUUCACAGGCCAAAUGGUGAUGGGUAGAUUACUAAAUCUGCUUAAGAUAUGGUCGGUCCCGCUGUGAGAGCAGAUGGGAAGCUACAAAGUAUACUCUAUUGCAAUCUACAUAGCAAUGAUCUAUAGAUAGUGGACAUCAAAGGUACAUGGCUUAUGGCGAUGGAUCUGUCUGCACAUAGCCAUCAUUGAAUAUGUAUGUCUGUAAAGAUCGCAUGGGCCCCACUGAGGAGUAGUUAAUCCAACAGUGUAGUUCCAGGCUCUUUGUUCCAUAAAUAAAAAGCAGAGCUUUCUGCUUUGGUUCACUUCGUUGUCUUCUUGGAUCAGAUACAGUGGAUUGAAAUUGCUGGUCGUGUAGUCGCCUAAGUAGAGAGUGUGCGAAACAUCUCUAGUUGGAUCGAAAUUCUGAUCUAUUAGUGCAUAGGCUACCCGAUGAAGCAAAUAUUUCACUCCUCUAAUCUUGAUUUGACUGUAGCCGUGAUGGGUUGUGGCAAAUGGAGAGAAGACAGGAGAGUGUGGCCAGACAGGAGGCGACUGAAGUAGAUUGCAAAUAUCUGAAGAAGUGAGGUGUGAAUUCGCUUUAAUAAAGGCGUCCGACUUCACUAAUCUAUGGAUUGAGUCUAUAAUGUCGCCAAUGUCAAGACUGUGGACAGACAUUGAUGAAUGCUGAAUGAGUAUGCGUAAACGUAACUGAAAACGUUCCGUAGGUGAACCUGCGGAAGGAUCAUUA